ensembl:miRNA
GGGGGCGGGAUGACAGCAGGAAAACCUAUCAGAUAGUUUGUUCAUAAUCCUUCUCUCUCAACAGCACUUAGUGUCCAUGUUUUCGAUCUGUCAUCCUGCAG